rnacentral:rRNA from 1 species
UACGUAGGGUGCGAGCGUUUAAUCGGAAUUACUGGGCGUAAAGCGUGCGCAGGCGGUUUUGUAAGCCAGAUGUGAAAUCCCCGAGCUUAACUUGGGAACUGCAUUUGGGACUGCAAGGCUAGAGUACGGCAGAGGGGGGUAGAAUUCCUGGUGUAGCAGUGAAAUGCGUAGAUAUCAGGAGGAAUACCGAUGGCGAAGGCAGCCCCCCUGGGUCGAUACUGACGCUCAUGCACGAAAGCGUGGGGAGCAAACAGG